UACGUAGGGUGCAAGCGUUGUCCGGAAUUAUUGGGCGUAAAGAGCUCGUAGGCGGUCUGUCGCGUCGGAUGUGAAAACCCAGGGCUCAACCCUGGGCCUGCAUUCGAUACGGGCGGGCUAGAGUUCGGUAGGGGGAGACUGGAAUUCCUGGUGUAGCGGUGAAAUGCGCAGAUAUCAGGAGGAACACCGGUGGCGAAGGCGGGUCUCUGGGCCGAUACUGACGCUGGAGGCACGAAAGCGUGGGGAGCAAACAGG
rnacentral:rRNA from 1 species